GUUCACAGCCCUGUGAAAUGUAAACCUCUUUGAACUGCUGCUCAGUGGGAGAGGGGGGGAUUGUGAAACUAUCUGGGAAACUGUCACAGAAAUUGAAAAUGAAGAUCACAGCAGCAGCCCAGCAGUGCACAACAGCCAGUAGCACUAAAGCAGCCACAACUUUCCCAAAUUUGAUUCCCUCAGGAGUUAUGGCUUGUGGAUUUUGGACACAUUCUGAGUGAAUAAGGAAUGCAGGAAAGGGAAGAAGAAAAGGAAGAAAGGAAGAGAAUGUUAGAGCAGCUCAUUUUGGAAAAUCAGGGGAAGUUGAUCUCCAUUGGUCUAUGUCUUGAAGAAAUGUUACCUCAUUUUGUCAACAUUUCUGCUGUCUUGGUAACCAUGCAAAUAUGACACAGCUGCAGUUUCAUCAGAGAACCCUAGACUCCCAUAUUAUGACCAUUCUCCAUUCUGAGGACUUUUUACCAAGCUAUCAAACAGUUCUUAGUUGGCAGCCACUUUGAGCUGUACGUUGUCCUGAAAAUGAACUUUGGCUGAAUGCCUC